rnacentral:lncRNA from 1 species
AAUUAUGUUGAUGUUUACUUGUUAAAUUAUUGUUGAAGGAAUCUAUAUUCCGCUUUUUUGAUUUUUUAAAUAAGUUUCUACACGCAUUUUCUUUGCACUUGCCAAAUUUCAUGAAAAAAUAUUAUGUAGCAAUUAGUUAAUUCAGUUAAACACUUUUGGUACCUAAUUUCUGUUUUCAAAAAUAGCCGAGGUGGGGCUGAGGGGGAGAGAGUUUUUUUUUCUUAAAAAAUGUUUAUUGCAUAUUGUUUCACUUAGAUUGUUAGUAAUUAAAAAAAUGAAUGAUAUAAAUGAACUGGGUAAUCAAACAGAUACUUCAUCGUCAUCUGAUGCAGUUGUUUUAUCAACAUCUGCCAGUGGUAAAUUUAUUCAGAUCUGUAUAGAGUUAAUGUCAAAAUCAAAGUUAUUUUGGUUGAUUUUUUUACCUUUAGCUUUGUCACCAUCUGCUAUGGUUGCUUUAUCUACAUUGAGAACAUUUGUCCAAUGAACUCAGCCUUCCACUGUUCCAUCUACAUCUGAAACAGUUGUUUCAUCAACAUCUACCACAUUUGGAAAGUUUAAAAGCUAUUUCUUUGUUCACUUUGUAUGUAAUAUGUGUAUCUGCAUCUACAUCUGCUUUGGUUGGUAUGUUAAAAAAGUAUUUCUUUGUAAGCAGUGC